rnacentral:rRNA from 1 species
AGUGAACGCUGGCGGCAUGCCUAACACAUGCAAGUCGAACGGACGCACGGUAAGCGUGCUCCCCUACGGGUGGCGAGUGGCGGAUGGGUGACACGUACAUCGCCUUCUUCUUUUUCUUGGGUGACAACGUGGGACCACUUACGCUAAUAGCGCAUAUGUUCUACCGCUUAGAUCAGUGGAUCUUCGCACCUUUCGCGUUUCAAUUAGCCGAUUCCGAACUGCAUUAGCGAGUUGGUAAGGUAACGGCCUACCGAGGCAACGUUGCGUAGCCGACCUGAGAGGGUGAUCAGCCACACUGGAACUGAGACACGGUCCAGACUCCUAAGGGAGGCAGCAGUGGGGAAUAUUGGGCAAUGGGCGAAAGCCUGACCGAGCCAUGCCGCGUGAGUGAUGAAGGUCUUCGGGUUGUAAAACCCUUUUGUUAGGAAAGAAAAGCAGCAGAUUAAUACCCCGAUGUUCUGACGGUACCCAAAGAAUAAGCACCGGCUAACUUCGUG